ensembl:lncRNA
GUGAGUACAGACAGUGGAAGCAAGGACGUGUCAUCUGGAAAAAAUACAGGGAUGCUGCCUGGAUUUGCAGGUAUGGUAUUAGGAAAGCAAAGACACAGAUGGAGCUGAGCUUGGCAAGGGAUGUAAACAUUAACAAGAAGGGACUGUACAGGUACACUGGUGAGAAGAGACAGGCCAAAGUGAGCACAUCUCCUCUGAUAAAUGAGAAAGGAGAAAUGGCUACAACAAAGAUGGAGAAUGCUGAAGUACUCAACAAGUUCUUUGCCUCAGACUUUACUGAAAGUCAGGCUUCUUGUGUCAGUUUCUUGAACUAAACGUUUCUAAACCUCUAGGUGAUGGCUGGCUACAAAGUGCCUUAAUUAUAUCAAGACAGAAAUGAAUAGUCCAUGAUUUAGCAACUGCAGUACAACUAGGAGAAAUUAGGUGACGACAGAAAAUUUGCACUGGAGGACCAAGAUACCAUACUUUUCCAGCCUAGAAAUGGACCAUUACAGAAGGGAAUGCAGAUGAACAUGGCUGAACUCAGUGCUGCAGUUUACAGAAGUAUCUGCUCACAGCACAGAAUGACACAUGGCUUGUCCUACAUCACAGACAACACUAAGCAGUGUAUGGGAACAGUAGACAAGGAAAAGAAUUGUAGAAUCAUUGAAUCGCCAAAGCUGAAAAAGAUCUCCAAGACCAUCCAGUCCAACUUUCCACCUACCACCAGUAUUUCCCACUAAACCAUGUCCAUCAAUACAACAUCCAAAUGUUUCUUGAACACUUCCAGGGACAGUGACCUAACCACCUCCUUGGGCAGCCCAUUUCAGUGCCUAACCACUCCUUUGGAGAAUAAAUUUUUCCUAUUAUCCAACCUGAACCUCCCUUGGCACAAAAGAACAAAUAACAAGUGGUUUGGUUUUUCUGUCACAGGUUGUUGGUGUGGUUAAUAUUCUCUGCUUCAGUACUCUGCAUUUACAACUCUUUUGCAAUGAGGUCACACUGACAAGCCACAAACACUGCUUGUUCCUUUUAAGAAAUAGUGAUUGCUAGACGCAAAUGAAUUCAGGGAUGGCUGAGAGGUGAUCUUGCAAGACUUCAAAAUAUCAAAGUGUGUCAUUCUGAUAUGCCUGAUAAAAGUGUUAUUUAAAUAUCCAUGGAAACCAACCUUCACAUUCAACUCAGGGGCUUUGGUCAUAAAUAAAAUACUGGACUGUGAAGGGAUUUCAAAGAUAUACCUUGUCUUUUUGAUCUCUGCAGUUAAUUCUUUCUCUCAACUUGGUCCUUAGAAAGGCGAUUGAAAGUGCAGCUAAGCUAAACGUUCCGUGGGAGUGCUCUGAUCUGUUUACUGCUUUGAUGUUCUCUGUAGGCUACUGCUUCCUGUGAACCAGGAUUCCAUGGCAAAAUAUAUGUGAUUCUCCAUCUCUUUUUUUAAAAGAUUUAAUAUGCAUUUCUCUCUGCUUGUAUCUAUAUUUGCACAUGACGGGUGAGAAGCAGACACAUGGUCCUUUAUUUCCAGAGAGGUGUUCAAAAAAAGACACCAAAAUCUGUCAGAUAUCUUCAAAGCAAGUUUGGAAUUCUGUGUUACCUUUAUCAGGAUCCUCCCCAAUUUUUUAGUUGUAUAAACAGUAUUUAAGCCUUGAUGACCAUUUAACUAAAUUAAGCAAACAAACAAACAAACAAACACAGAAUUGUUGGUAUUACAUUUGAAUUGAAGGACACAAACAAUGCAUAUUCUUUCUUAGCUGAUUUUGAACCAGAAUAUUUGAACCAGAUUUUGAACCAGAUUAUUUUCCUGCCAGUGGAUAAAAGUUACAGUAUUACUUAGAACAGCCUUUUUAACAUCAUCAUUAUAAAAAUGUUACCUUUAUAACUUGUUUAUCAAUUGACUAUUUUGUAAAACUGCAGUUGGCUUAUCUGAUUGGUAAUGCUAAAAUAUCCUUCCAAUGUUUUAAAUUUUCAACAAAAAUAUCUCGGGAUGGUACGAUUCUAUGUAGUUAUGCAGUGUUUUGAGAAAAUCUUUCUUAUUUGGAUGUUACUGCUUAGCUUCAUAAUUAUACGAAACCUCAUAUCAGUGUUUUCAAAGUAUUUGUCCCCCCCCCUUUUUUUUUUUUUUAAUCUUAAUCAUAACUUUCAGGUUUCUUAGAGGACUGGUUUCAUAAUACAUUCCUAAAUUUUUUGCUCUUUCUUCAAUAUUUUGCUGAUUUGUUUUCAUGUUUUAUAUACCAUCUAUGAUAUACAGGAUAUUAGCUAAUUUCUUGACAAUGUAAAAGGGGUGGUAUCCCUUUCAUUAGCUGUUCUUUUUAUAGAAGACAUGCAGAAGAAAAAAAAAAUUACCACUGAACUGGAAUAACUGAGGUGAAAUUGCUAAUCAGAAACGCUGUUACUUGUAUGUGAGAGUUUCAAAGCACUUUUAAGUGCAAGUUCAUUGAGCCUACUCACACUUUUUGAGGUAAAGAGGUAAUUAAUAUUAUCCCCUUCAUCGCAGGUCUCAGCUUUGAACAGUCCAAGGUCUCUUCUGGGCAGUAAAAUGAAGCAGUAAACAACUCUGUGCUUUCUAACUGAAUGGGAACAAUGCUUUCUUUGAAGAUGUGAUUCUGCUGACCUUAUUAAAAAUACAGUGCAUGAACUACCUUGAAGUAAGCAAAAAAGUUCUCAGAAGACAACCAGAUGAAAUAAAUUCUUGCUGACCUCAGUUCUUGAGAGCUUU